GUGCUCACCUCGGCAGCACAUUUACUGAAACUGGAACGACACAGAGAGGAUUAGUGUGGCCCCUGUGCGAGGAUGACAUGCAAAAAUAGGUUAAAAACAUAGUC